GGCGUUCUCCCCAGCGAGGAGGGCAACUCAAAGUCCCUGAAAUGCCUUCCCUAGAAGAAGCAUCUUUGUUUGCCUGGAGGUUUUGAACACUGGACAGUCUUAACAAUGUGACAUAUGAUGGGAGCUUGAGAUGUGCCCUAUCGGUUCCGACAUCCAGAGGAACUGGAGACUAAAGGUAUUAUCCUGAAACUCCAAGAGUGAUGGAGAAAUGGAGGUCAGCCACAUGAGCAAUGGUGCACAGCCCAGAAAGGAGCUGUGCACACCAGAGGCUCAGCCCCUGGAAGCUCAGGCUCUCAAGGGAGCAAGUAUUGAUCCCUUAGGCUUCAGCUUUAAACUCCCCAGUUAGAAGGAAGCACACAGAGACCUUGGUGGGCAAUCAGCCUGUACCAGUUGCAGAACAAGAAUCUGGAUGAAACUCUCAUCCCUGGAAACUCAGGUUCUCAAGGGACCCAGUAGAGAUCCCUCAGGCCCCAGCUAUAAGCUCCCAGAUUGGAGGGAACCACAUGGAGAGACGUGGUGAGCAGUCAGUCUCCACCAGUUGCAGAAAGAGAAUCUGGAAGCAGCAUCGGUUUUUUACAUCAUGUAUAUG